rnacentral:rRNA from 1 species
AUGCCAGACUCCUACGGGAGGCAGCAGUGAGGAAUAUUGGUCAAUGGCCGCAGGGCUGAACCAGCCAAGCCGCGUGAGGGAGGAAGGUACAGAGUAUCGUAAACCUCUUUUGUCAGGGAACAAAGGCGGGGACGUGUCCCCGGAUGAGUGUACCUGAAGAAAAAGCAUCGGCUAACUCCGUGCCAGCAGCCGCGGUAAUACGGAGGAUGCGAGCGUUAUCCGGAUUUAUUGGGUUUAAAGGGUGCGCAGGCGGAAGAUCAAGUCGGGGGUAAAAUUGAGGGGCUCAACCUCUUCGAGCCGUUGAAACUGGUUUUCUUGAGUGAGCGAGAAGUAUGCGGAAUGCGUGGUGUAGCGGUGAAAUGCAUAGAUAUCACGCAGAACUCCGAUUGCGAAGGCAGCAUACCGGCGCUCAACUGACGCUCAUGCACGAAAGUGUGGGUAUCGAACAGGAUUAGAUACCCGAGUAUC